GACGAACGCUGGCGGCGUGCUUAACACAUGCAAGUCGAACGAAGUGGCGAACGGGUGAGUAACGCGUAAUCAACCUGCCCUUCAGAGGGGGACAACAGUUGGAAACGACUGCUAAUACCGCAUACUGAAGGAGGGGCUUGCGUCUGAUUAGCUAGUUGGAGGGGUAACGGCCCACCAAGGCGAUGAUCAGUAGCCGGUCUGGGGGGAUGAACGGCCACAAUGGGAAUUGAACACGGCCCAGGCUCCUACGGGAGGCAGCAGUGGGGAAUCUUCCGCAAUGGACGAAAGUCUGACGGAGCAACGGCGCGUGAGUGGUGACGGGCUUCGGGUUGUAAAGCUCUGUUAAUCGGGACGCGGUACCGGAAUAGAAAGCCACGGCUAACUACGUGCCAGCAGCCGCGGUAAUUC
rnacentral:rRNA from 1 species